GAUUCUGGCUCAGGAUGAACGCUAGCGACAGGCUUAACACAUGCAAGUCGAGGGGCAGCAUAGAAGUAGCAAUACUUGGUGGCGACCGGCGCACGGGUGAGUAACGCGUAUGCAACCUACCUAUCAGAGGGGAAUAACCCGGCGAAAGUCGGACUAAUACCGCAUAAAACAGGGGCACCGCAUGGUGAUAUUUGUUAAAGAAAUUCGCUGAUAGAUGGGCAUGCGUUCCAUUAGGUAGUUGGUGAGGUAACGGCUCACCAAGCCGACGAUGGAUAGGGGAACUGAGAGGUUGGUCCCCCACACUGGUACUGAGACACGGACCAGACUCCUACGGGAGGCAGCAGUGAGGAAUAUUGGUCAAUGGGCGGGAGCCUGAACCAGCCAAGUCGCGUGAAGGAAAAGAAGGAUCUAUGGUUCGUAAACUUCUUUUGCAGGGGAAUAAAGUGCAGGACGUGUCCUGUUUUGUAUGUACCCUGAGAAUAAGGAUCGGCUAACUCCGUGCCAGCAGCUGC
rnacentral:rRNA from 1 species